rnacentral:rRNA from 1 species
UACGUAGGGUGCAAGCGUUAAUCGGAAUUACUGGGCGUAAAGCGUGCGCAGGCGGUUAUGUAAGACAGGUGUGAAAUCCCCGGGCUUAACCUGGGAACUGCAUUUGUGACUGCAUAGCUAGAGUACGGUAGAGCGGGAUGGAAUUCCGCGUGUAGCAGUGAAAUGCGUAGAUAUGCGGAGGAACACCGAUGGCGAAGGCAAUCCCCUGGACCUGUACUGACGCUCAUGCACGAAAGCGUGGGGAGCAAACAGG